rnacentral:rRNA from 1 species
AUUGAACGCUGGCGGCAGGCCUAACACAUGCAAGUCGAGCGGAGCGGCGGACGGGCGAGUAAUGCCUAGGAAUCUGCCUGGUCGUGGGGGAUAACGUCCGGAAACGGGCGCUAAUACAGCAUACUAUCAGAUGAGCCUAGGCUGGAGUAGCUAGUUGGUGGGGUAAAUGCUUACCAAGCCGACGGUCCGUAACUGGUCUGAGAGGAUGAUCAGUCACACUGGAACUGAGACACGGUCCAGACUCCUGCGGGAGGCAGCAGUGGGGAAUAUUGGACAAUGGGCGAAAGCCUGACCCAGCCAUGCCGCGUGUGUGAAGAAGGUCUUCGGAUUGUAAAGCACUUUAAGUUGGUAGGCGUUACCAACAGAAUAAGCACCGGCUAACUUCGUGCCAGCAGCCGCGGUAAUAC